rnacentral:rRNA from 1 species
CAGCAACGAAGCGUGUGGGAAGAAGGCUUUCGGGUUGUAAACCACUUUUGCCCGGGACGAAAGGGAGUGCCCGAAUACGGCAGUCCGAUGACGGUACCGGGAGAAUAAGCCACGGCUAACUCUGUGCCAGCAGCCGCGGUAAGACAGAGGUGGCAAGCGUUGUUCGGAGUUACUGGGCGUAAAGAGUCUGUAGGUGGUCUGUCAAGUCUUUGGUGAAAGGCCGUGNUUAACCAUGGGAAUGCCAAAGAGA